CCUACGGGCGGCUGCAGUCGAGAAUCUUCGGCAAUGGGCGCAAGCCUGACCGAGCGACGCCGCGUGGAGGACGAAGGCCCUCGGGUUGUAAACUCCUGUCGAGGGGGAGCAAGGCUCCGCGAAGAGCGGCGCUUGAGCGAUCCCUGGAGGAAGCACGGGCUAAGUUCGUGCCAGCAGCCGCGGUAAGACGAACCGUGCGAACGUUAUUCGGAAUCACUGGGCUUAAAGCGCGUGUAGGCGGCCCGGCACGUCCGCCGCUGAAAGACCCCGGCUCA
rnacentral:rRNA from 1 species